rnacentral:rRNA from 1 species
GCAUAAUCAUUUGCCGUUUAAUUGAUGGCUGGAAUGAAUGAAUAUACGAGAGCUCAACUGUCUCAUUUUUACAAAUAUAAAUUGACCCUCAAGUGAAGAGACUUGAAUCUUUAAAAAAGACGAAAAGACCCUAUAGAGCUUUACCUAAAGUUUAUAUUAUAUAAACUAAAGGUUUAGUUGGGGCAACUAGAGAGCACCUAAAACCUCUCUUUAAACCUACUAAUAAUGAUCCGUUUUUACGAUAAGUAGAAAAAGCUACCUUAGGGAUAACAGGCUAAUCCUCUUUAAGAGACCAUAUUGACAAGAGGGA